AUUGACCGCUGGCGGCAGGCCUAACACAUGCAAGUCGAGCGGAGCGGCGGACGGGUGAGUAAUGCCUAGGAAUCUGCCUGGUAGUGGGGGAUAACGUCCGGAAACGGGCGCUAAUACAGCAUACUAUCAGAUGAGCCUAGGUCGGAUUAGCUGGUUGGUGGGGUAACGGCCUAACACUGCGACGAUCCGUAACUGGUGUGAGAGGAUGAUCCGUCACAAUGUAAAUGAGACACGGUCCAGAAGCCUACGGGAGGCAGCAGUGGGGAAUAUUGGAAAAUGGGCUAAAGCCGGAUCCAGCCAUGCGGCGUGUGUGAAGAAGGUCUUCGGAUUGUAAAGCACUUUAAUUUGGGAGGCGUGACCAACAGAAUAAGCACCGUCUAACUUCGUGCCAGCAGCCGCGGUAAUUC
rnacentral:rRNA from 1 species